rnacentral:rRNA from 1 species
CCUACGGGUGGCUGCAGUGAGGAAUAUUGGUCAAUGGACGAGAGUCUGAACCAGCCAAGUAGCGUGAAGGAUGACUGCCCUAUGGGUUGUAAACUUCUUUUAUAAAGGAAUAAAACGAGGCACGUGUGCCUUUUUGCAUGUACUUUAUGAAUAAGGAUCGGCUAACUCCGUGCCAGCAGCCGCGGUAAUACGGAGGAUCCGAGCGUUAUCCGGAUUUAUUGGGUUUAAAGGGAGCGUAGAUGGGUUGUUAAGUCAGUUGGGAAAGUUUGCGGCUCAACCGUAAAAUUGCAAUUGAUACUGGCAGUCUUGAGUACAGUUGAGGUAGGCGGAAUUCGUGGUGUAGCGGUGAAAUGCUUAGAUAUCACGAAGAACCCCGAUUGCGAAGGCAGCAUACCUGUGCACAACUGACGCUCAGGCACGAAAGCGUGGGUAUCGAACAGGAUUAGAUACCCGAGUAGUC